rnacentral:lncRNA from 1 species
AAUUCCUCAAGGCAUAGGAGAUCUAAAAUUUCUACAAUCUAUUGACCUUGAUGGGUGUGCAAAUAUUCAUCAACUUCCUAACAGCAUCCUAAAGCUGCGGAAGCUAAGGUCACUCAACUUGAGCGACACGGCAAUCACUUCAAUUCCUCGUGGCUUGGGAAAACUAGAAGAUUUGGUCCACAUAAGCGGGUUUCCAACACAUUAUUCAGAUGAGAGCACAUGUGGCUGGUGCAGCUUAGAAGAACUCAGACCUCUGUCGAAGCUCCAAAGCCUUGAAAUAAGUUGUCUGGAGAAAGCACCUUCCGGUUCUAUGGCUGCUAAAGCAAACCUUAGCAGUAAACAUCACCUGACACGGUUACAUUUGGUAUUUACCAGCAGGCUAGGAGACAACGGGAAGGUCAAAGGCAACAUUAGCGAGGAGGAACACAGGAGAACAGAGGAGGUGCUGGAUAAUCUGUGUCCUCCAACUUGCAUGGAAGAACUUGAUAUCAAAGGCUACUUUGCACGUGGGCUACCGCAGUGGAUGAGAACCAUGUCAGCCUUUGGGAGCUUAAGGCGGUUGCAGCUAGAUGACGACGCAUGCUGCACGCAUCUACCUAAUGGAUUGGGGCAGCUCCCCUUUCUUGAUUAUUUUUGGUUCAAUCGUGCUCCGUCUGUCCGGUGCGUUGGGCACGAUUUCCUCUUCCCCUCCUUGGGUGGUCAAGCUGAUGGCAAAGUAACACGGAACAAUAACAGGCAGCCUCAUCAUACUUUGCGAGGUGCUGGUGUUGCUUUUCCCAAGUUGAGAAAAGUGGGUUUUGUAGGCAUGCUGGGAUGGACGAAUUGGGAGUGGGAGCAGCACGUCCCAGCGAUGCCUGCACUAGAGGAGCUUACAAUCAUAAACUGCAAACUGCAACACCUUCCUGCAGGGCUUGCACAACAUGCAUGCCGGUUGAGAGAGUUGCGCCUGACACAUGUCCAGCACUUGGUCUCUGUUGAGAACUUCCCUUCACUAGUCAAGCUUUGGUCAUAUGACAACCCAAGGCUGGAGAGGAUCAGCAACAACCCGAGCUUGCAAUGGAUUGACAUUAGAAAUUGCCCAGCACUAGAACAAUUGGACGGUUUGCCAUCCCUCCGAAGCCUCGAGUGGAGGGAUUUGAGUGCUGAAGCACUCCCAGAAUACUUGCGAGAGGCAAAGCUAAAGAAAUUGCGUGUAGAUUGCAGCCGAAGAUUGCUCAAACUGAUAGCACUACAAGAUGAAUCCUCCGAAUGGGGAAAGAUCCAGCAUGUCCAGCAACUAGAGGCGUAUGGACACAAGAUAGAAGGAGAAGCGGAGGAAGCCGACCAAUCGCACGAAGAUGAGGAUGCCGAGUGGUACAUCUACUGUACCAAGGAGCCGUAUUCAUUCGACGCGUACCUGGGCAAGUCCACGGGUGAGUUCAUCUUCGACCUACUCGGUGGUUUUAUAACUGUAUGUGUGUGUACACUCAUGUAAAAAUGGAUUUCUAACUGUAUAUUCUCCUGCGCACAGGAUGAAGAUGAAGCAGAAGUAGACGAGGUGAACGAAGAGCAGAGUCCAGGAAUAGAAUAUAGUAAGAAUGCAAGGAACAGAGGAAGCUCUCAGGCUGUUACGACAGGACGAGCAUUCGAAUCCAUCCACCAAAUACUAGGUAUGAAUUGCCCAAAUACUGAUGGUCUUGUAGUUGUACACGCCAAAUUGGCUGUGACUAUUCUAACUGGAAAGCAUUGUCGUGUUAACGCAGGAGAAAGAAACCCAAGAAGGAGAAGAACACAUCGCAAUUGGGUGGUGGCAAUGUGGCAUACUGUCCCUCAAAUUCGUAAGUUGUAUAUGUUUGUGUGCGAAAAAUAUAAUACAGCAGUAAGGCGCGAGCGUCUCUCUAACCAGUUGUUGUGACGCUCAGGAAUGGAGCGCCAGCACGGGCGGCCUUGGACUCGUUGGAGCGAAUACGCGUCGGGGACGAGCGAUGGGCUGAGAGGUGAAGCACUGAACGUGCGCGCGAAGGGCAGCAGGGAAGGGAUUUGCACAUUUAGCUCCCAGGAUUUGCACUUCUUGUUGGCGUAUUUGUAGGCAGGUCUGCACUCCAUCUCUUCUUUUCGGUUGGUCUCUGCUAGCUCGUCAGACUUUCUACAGUGUUUUUGAAUGUUCGAUAGCAAAUGAGUGUAGGAAUUUGCAGACGUGCUCUAUGAUGCCGAGAUAACAAUUGCAUCCCCCCCUCAUGGAUCCUCUGGAAAGCUGAAGCUACUCUGCAAGACUGCAACGAUUGCAGCAACACGGACGUGCCUACUAAAAACAUGGUGCAAUAAAACUGCGAAAUGCUAAACAAGGUCAAGCCGGCAGCCAGGUAAACAACAUUCCAGGCAGCAGGUAUAUUCUGAGCCGUGUGAGAAUUAUCUGUCUGCAAUAGCUUUUUCAUGGGUAGCUAUCACUCGCAUGUGGAUCGUGUCUCUGGCUGAUCCGUUCAGCGUGGACCGGAGCCAACAACGGGGAUAAGAAGUCCCAACUAGUAGUAGUUGGCUGCCAAUGCGGUGGCCAAAAUUUGACCAAGCCAAGGCUAGUAAACAGCAAAUUUGGUACUGUAGGCGCGCUAUUAUAUAGCGGAAGCAACCAAAGUUAUAUAAAUAUUAAUUAUGGAUAAUACAAAGUUAUAUAAAUAUUAAUUAUGGAUAAUAAAGAGGGAGAACUAAUCAGGACGCUGACGAUGCUUCUAGUUGAUCCAUCAUGCUCCAAAAUCUUUCUGCAAGUCAGGAGCUGCAGGAUAUAAGUGCAGAACUGCCUGCCGAUUUCAAAAAAUUAAAAAAAAUUAAAGAAAAAAGAACUGACUGCCGAUGGCCACUCAAGGUAGUAAAAACUAUAGGAAUGCUAUUAGUAGUUCCAGUGUUCCACUGGUAGCUGCCAUUUGCGCUUUGCUGAUCCGUUAGGUGCGGAGCCAGCGACGAAGAGAAGAGUUGAAGCGUCUCUCUGGGGGUUAGUUGAGGCGUCUCUCUUUUGCACCUCAUCAAUAGAGACAAAUAAUUUGAGUUGCAUAUUUUUUGACUACUGACUGGACACCCAAUCGAGGUCCACAAAAAUAUGGAGUAGCGUACUCUUCUGGCACUCCUAUGCGUUGAACUUCUUCGCCUCGCCAUCUCAUCUGCCCAUCCGUGAUUUUCCAUCGACCGGCCAGGCCUUCCUUCUGUAUAAAGCGUCUCCUAAAUCACCGCAGAGUGUACACCCCCACAUAUCUGAAACCUAGUCAUCUUCCUUUUGCUCUCUGCUUUGCUACCCUGUUCCCCGACCAUGGCAGAGCUGCUGGACGAGUUCGCGUCCAAGCUUGUGGGCAUCCUGGCAGGCAUGGUGAAGGAGGAGGUGGAGAUGCUCCUCGGCGUGCCGGGUGAGGUCACCAAGCUCGAGACCACGCUCCGUGACCUGAGCGACAUCUUGGGUGAUGCGGAGAGGAAGCGCAUCCGUGACAAGGCUACGGAGGGUUGGGUGAGGGAGCUCAAGGACGUCAUGUACGACGCCGAUGACGUCCUUGACCUCUGCCAGCUCAUGGAGGGCGGAGAAGAUCCUCCCGCACCAACAUCUGCUCCAAAAACCACCUCAAGGUGCUGGGACAUCCCCAAGAUGUUCUUUUGCUUCCGCAACCCUGUUGUGGCACAUGAGAUUGGAACGAAGAUCCAAGCGAUCAACCAGCGACUGGAAGACCUGGCAACGAGGAGCUCCCGUUUCGGAUUCAUCACCCAAGCCAUCCAUUCCUCAGCUGAUUCAAUCAACAAAGCUUCCAAUUCUUUGUCGACCGACGAGACUGGAUCGGUUUUUAUCCGGUCUGAUGUUGUCGGCGAGAAGGUUGAGGAUGACACGAAGAAAAUUGUAGAUCUACUCAUCAAGAAGAUGGAUGCUCCCGUAGGAUCAAGGGCCAAUAAUGAUGUGGUUGUUGCUGUUGCUAUCACAGGCACAGGUGGGAUAGGCAAAACCACUCUUGCUCAGAUGGUCUUCGGUGAUAGUAGGGUGGAGGAAAAAUUCGAGGAAAGGAUCUGGUUGAGCGUUAACCGUGAGUUCAAUGAGAUCAACGUCCUACAAAGUCUUAUAACUUCUUUUGGUGCCAAACAUGAAGGCUGUGCGGGAAACAAGGACCUACUUCAGCGUGCCCUGAAGGAUACGAUCCGGCAAAAGAAGAAGUUUUUGUUGGUGAUGGAUGAUGUGUGGAGGGAAAAUGUGUGGUAUAAGCUGCUUAGAGAGCCGCUCAAUCAUGGUGCUUCUGGCAGUCGAGUCUUGGUGACCACAAGAAAUGAUGGAGUUGCUCAUGGGAUGAAAGCUCAACAUCUCCAUCCAGUUCACAAGCUAACAACGGAAGAUGCUUGGAUUUUGCUAAAGAACCAGGUCAGUAAUAACUUUUAUUUAUUACAGUAAUUAUUUAUGCAGUAAUUUGAAUUUACUGUAACAACUUUUAUCUCUUCUUAAUUACUUUCUCUCCCUUGGAGGAAUGCACGAUAGCCCACUGCUCGUUAUUUCUCUUGUCGCUCUUGUCCGAUCUGAUUACGCAAAGGACCAUGUAAUUUCACUACGAGCCUUUUAUCAUACUUUCAUAAGCUCUUGGCUUAGCAAAACUUGUCUCAUGGUUAUAUUUAGUUGAACAUAUCCUAUUGACGUUGAGGGAAGUUUUGUUUAGUGCAAGGAAUCGGAUACCGUAGCCUAAGAGGGGGAGAGGGUGAAUUAGGUAACUUAAAACCUUAAUCUAUAGCUUCCGCUACUUUUGCAUCAAAUUUAAUUAGAUCAUGUAUCAAGAUGUGUAACUAUGGUUGAUCUAGUGUGAAAUCCUCAUCCUAAAAUUAGUUUUGCAACCUAGAGGCAAUCCUAACAAGAUACUACACUAAGAAUGUAAAGGCACACAAGUUGCAAGUAUGAAAUGUGGAAAUGAAAAGGAGGGGAUGAGGGGAAGCAAACUCUUGACACGAUGAUUUAUCCCGUUGUAUCGGUAGGCACUAAACCACCGCUAGUCGACAUUGUUGAAGCACUCACACAAGAGUAUUGCUUUCCGGUCACCAAGUCUCUCUCGGGAUACUCCUUGCUUUGCCACGAAGGCUUGGCCGCUAAGGCUCACGUCAAAUUCUCAGGUCACCUUGAUACCAUCUCCACAAAGGAGCUUCUCCACGAAGGAAGGGGGUCUCCACGUUCCCUGCAUAUUGUCGUCGACGCCGAUCCAUGCCAAACCGGAGGGUCGAAGACUUACCGGCGAACUACCAAGGCUCCAAGAUAGCACACCUUGUACAGCUGUGGUUCACUCCUAGAACCGAUCACAAGGCAGGCACACCUUGCACUCUCUCUUCUCUAGGCCUAUCCUAGCACUAAAUAUUCUUAUAAGCUUGUGCUAAGCCUUUGAUUAAUCACUUAUGCACUUUUGGUGGCUUGGAUGUGUUCUUGAUGAGUCUUGAUCUCCAAUGGACUUCUGCAUACUCCAGCUUCAUCCAGCAACUCCAAUGGGUGAGUGGAGGGGGUAUAAAUAGCCCAAGAACUCAAAGAGCCGUUGCUCCAACGGCUAGUUAAAGUAUACCAUCGGAUGUUCCGAUGGUAUCAUUCGGGGUAGCAUUCGAACAUCUGGUUCUACCAGCCCUUGCCUCCCCGCGCUUAGAUUCUACUCAAGUUCCUCACCGACGCAAUCCAUCGAUUGAUCAAGUGGUCCCUCUAGCACCCAUCGGAUCAUCCGGUGCAGUAGCUUCCUAUGCCAAAACGUCUCUGUUAGUUUCUAAAAUAAAUAUGCUUCAUCCGAUGCCCCCACGACACAUAGCGUCGGAUCAUCCGGUGCCUCCUUCUUUCUUCUCUUUGCUCCGGCGAUUCAUCCGAUGGAUACAAAACUUAGGCCAUCGAAUCAUCCGAUGGUCCUACUUUGACUUGGUCUCCACAUGGCGUACCAAAAGCUCCGAUGCUUGCACCGAUGCUUUUUCAACUGGCCAUCGAAACAUCCGAUGGUCUCAAAAACCUGCUUCACGCUUGGCACCGACUGAUUCGGUGGGCACCUUCUUCUUGUCACCAGAUGAAUCGGUGACUAUAAUGAUUCCUGUUUUUCUUUGAUUCUUUGCUUAUCUUUGGUUGUGGUUGCUUCCUCAGGACCUAUAAUACCUUCAAGAUAUGUUUUCAAUGCUUUGUUAGUCCUGAUGACCGUGUUGUCACAUUAAUCACCAAAAUCACAAACAAAUAGCCUAUUCGGGGCCAUGUUUGCUACAUUUAGGCUAUUCCCAAUGGGGAUUUCAUAAGAGUUUCAUUUAAUGAUGCGACACACCAACAAUUUUGAUGAUAUGGCAUGCUAAUAAUCAUGAAGAGAGAGAGGGAAUGAGUUUAAUCCUGAUUAAACUAUGUAUACAUUGUUUCCAAGACUAUGAAACCUGAUGAAACUAGCAUUGGGGAUUAGAGAGUUUCAUUUCAUCUCAUAACAUCCAAUCACAUACCUCGCAAUUAAACGUUAUGUCCAGCCUAUGAAAUCGCGAAAUGAAACUCUCCAUUGGGAGAUCUUGUGUCAUACAUCCACUCAAACAUCUUUCGAUGACGUACCACUCUUGAAAAUUGUAAUUGAAAUUUCCCACUGGGAAUAGCCAUGGUUGCUCUAGAGUCUAGACUCUAUUUAAGUCACUUCAACUUUUUCCCUACACACAACCCCUGCAACAGUUAUGAUACAACAUAAAAUCCAUUGGGAGCUUUUCGAUUCUAGCACCAUUUCCUCUCUCAAACUUGCUGCAUUUUUUUUCCAAUACUAGGUAGUUUCGAAUGAGAGUGAUGAAGCCGAUGUCGAUGAAUUGAAGAGUAUCGGGAUGGAAAUUGUUGAAAGAUGUGACUGCUUGCCGUUAGCAGUUAAGGUCCUUGGAGGACUCUUGCGUCACAAAAGGAGAACAAGGGAUGCCUGGACGGAUGUUAGUAGCCACGAUAUUUGGUCGACAAUAGGAAGCGAUGAAGAUAUUAAUAAAGCGGUCUAUUUGAGUUAUGAAGAUUUGCCUUCACACUUGAAGCAAUGUUUUGUGUAUUGUUCGCUAAUCCCUAAAGAUCACUUGAUAUCGAGUGGAGUAAUAGUCAAGCUUUGGAUUGCAGCAGGUCAUGUACACAACAAGAUGAGCUGUAAGGUACCAGAAAAGUUGGGGAAAGAAUACUACAACGAAUUGGUUUCAAGAAAUCUUCUAGAACCAGACAAAAGUUACUAUAGUACAGUAGUAUGCAGGAUGCACGAUGUUGUCCGUUCCUUCGCUCAGUAUAUAAUUAAAGAUGAAGGGAUACUUAUUAGUGAUGGGCAGGAUGUUAAUAGAACUCUUAGCACUGCAAAGCUUCGGCACCUAUCUAUCUCAAACACGACAGUAGGGCAUGACACUUUGCAAAAACAAGCCUUGCUUAGAACAUUAAUUUUAUUCGGAAGCAGUACCACUGUUGAGCUAAAGGAUCUGUUGAACAACCUUUCUUGCCUGAGAGUACUACAUCUAGUAAAGGUAGAUUUAGUCGAGCUGCCAGACUCCAUAUGCCACCUCAAACAUUUAAGAUACUUGUGUAUUUGUAACGCAAGCAUAUCCAGAAUUCCUCAAGGCAUAGGAGAUCUAAAAUUUCUACAAUCUAUUGACCUUGAUGGGUGUGCAAAUAUUCAUCAACUUCCUAACAGCAUCCUAAAGCUGCGGAAGCUAAGGUCACUCAACUUGAGCGACACGGCAAUCACUUCAAUUCCUCGUGGCUUGGGAAAACUAGAAGAUUUGGUCACCAUAAGGGGGUUUCCAACACAUUAUUCAGAUGAGAGCACAGGUGGCUGGUGCAGCAUAGAAGAACUCAGACCUCUGUCGAAGCUCCAAAGCCUUGAAAUAAUAUGUCUGGAGAAGGCACCUUCCGGUUCUAUGGCUGCUAAAGCAAACCUUAGCAGUAAACAUCACCUGACAUGGCUAGAUUUGGUAUUUACCAGCAGGCUAGGAGACAACGGGGUGGUCGAAGGCAACAUUAGCGAGGAGGAACACAGGAGAACAGAGGAGGUGCUGGAUAAUCUGUGUCCUCCAACUUGCAUGGAAGAACUUGAUAUAAAAGGCUACUUUGCACGUGGGCUACCGCAGUGGAUGAGAACCAUGUCAGCCUUUGGGAGCUUAAGGCGGUUGGUGCUACAUGACUACGCAUGCUGCCCGCAUCUACCUAAUGGAUUGGGGCAGCUCCCCUUUCUUGAUUAUUUUUGGGUCAAACGUGCUCCGUCUGUCCGGUGCGUUGGGCACGAUUUCCUCUUCCCCUCCUUGGGUGGUCAAGCUGAUGGCAAAGUAACACGGAACAAUAACAGGCAGCCUCAUCAUACUUCGCGUGGUGCUGGUGUUGCUUUUCCCAAGCUGUCAGAAGUGGGUUUUGUAGGCAUGCUGGGAUGGACGAAUUGGGAGUGGGAGCAGCACGUCCCAGCGAUGCCUACACUAGAGGAGCUUACAAUCAGAAACUGCAAACUGCAACACCUUCCUGCAGGGCUUGCAUACCAUGCAUGCCGGUUGAGAGAGUUGGACCUGAGAAAUAUCCAGCUCUUGGUCUGUGUGGAGAACUUCCCUUCACUAGUCAAGCUUUGGUCAUAUGACAACCCAAGGCUGGAGAGGAUCAGCAACAACCCAAGCUUGCAAUGGAUUGACAUUAGCAAUUGCCGAGCACUAGAGGAAUUGGACGGUUUGCCAUCCCUCCUAAGCCUUGAGUGGUGGAAUUUGAGUGCUGAAGCACUCCCAGAAUACUUGCGAGAGGCAAAGCUAAAGAAAUUGCGUGUAGAUUGCAGCCGAAGAUUGCUCAAACUGAUAGCACUACAAGAUGAAUCCUCCGAAUGGGGAAAGAUCCAGCAUGUCCAGCAACUAAAGGUGUAUGGAUGCAAGAUAGAAGGAGAAGCGGAGGAAGCCGACCAAUCGCACGAAGAUGAGGAUGCCGAGUGGUACAUCUACUGUACCAAGGAGCCGUAUUCAUUCGACGCAUACCUGGGCAAGUCCACGGGUGAGUUCAUCUUCGACCUACUCGGUGGUUUUAUAACUGUAUGUGUGUACACUCAUGUAAAAAUGGAUUUCUAACUGUAUAUUCACCUGCGCACAGGAUGAAGAUGAAGCAGAAGUAGACGAGGUGAACGAAGAGCAGAGUCCAGGAAUAGAACAUAGUAAGAAUGCAAGGAACAGAGGAAGCUCUCAGGCUGUUACGACAGGAGGAGCAUUCGAAUCCAUCCACCAAAUACUAGGUAUGAAUUGCCCAAAUACUAAUGGUCUUGUAGUUGUACACGCCAAAUUGGCUGUGACUAUUCUAACUGGAAAGCAUUGUCGUGUUAACGCAGGAGAAGAACACAUCGCAAUUGGCAUACUGUCCCUCAAAUUCGUAAGUUGUAUAUGUUUGUGUGCGAAAAAUAUAAUACAUCAGUAAGGCGCGAGCGUCUCUCUAACCAGUUGUUGUGACGCUCAGGAAGGGAGCGCCAGCACGGGCGGCCUUGGACUCGUUGGAGCGAAUACGCGUCGGGGACGAGCGAUGGGCUGAGAGCUGAAGCACUGAACGUGCGCGCGAAGGGCAGCAGGGAAGGGAUUUGCACAUUUAGCUCCCAGGAUUUGCACUUCUUGUUGGCGUAUUUGUAGGCAGGUCUGCACUCCAUCUCUUCUUUUUGGUUGGUCUGUGCUAGCUCGUCAGACUUUCUACAGUGUUUUUGAAUGUUCGAUAACAAAUGAGUGUAGGAAUUUGCAGACGUGCUCUAUGAUGCCGAGAUAACAAUUGCAUCCCCCCCUCAUGGAUCCUCUGGAAAGCUGAAGCUACUCUGCAAGACUGCAACGAUUGCAGCAACACGGACGUGCCUACUAAAAACAUGGUGCAAUAAAACUGCGAAAUGCUAAACAAGGUCAAGCCGGCAGCCAGGUGAGCAACAUUCCAGGCAGCAGGCAUAUUCUGAGCCGUUCAGCGUGGACCGGAGCCAACAACGGGGAUAAGAAGUCCCAACUAGUAGUAGUUGGCAGCCAAUGCGGUGGCCAAAAUUUGACCAAGCCAAGGCUAGUAAACAGCAAAUUUUGUAGCAAACCAAAAUUAAAAUGCGACGUAACCAAAGCGCUGGCGUAACCAUGUCGACAUUAGACCUGAUUUGUUAAUACGUGCUGAGAUGGCGAGGCAUAUCUUGUAACCAGCGACGAAGAGAAGAGUUCAAGCUGCAUUGGAUACAUGUGCUCCUGCCUCCUGGGGGUUAGUUGAGGCGUCUCUCUUUUGCACCUCAUCAAUAGAGACAAAUAAUUUGAGUUGCAUAUUUUUUGACUACUGACUGGACACCCAAUCGAGGUCCACAAAAAUAUGGAGUAGCGUACUCUUCUGGCCCUCCUAUGCGUUGAACUUCUUCGCCUCACCAUCUCAUCUGCCCAUCCGUGAUUUUCCAUCGACCGGCCAGGCCUUCCUUCUGUAUAAAGCGUCUCCUAAAUCACCGCAGAGUGUACACCCACACAUAUCUGAAAUCUAGUCAUCUUCCUUAGUCAUCUUCCUUUUGCUCUCUGCUUUGCUACCCUGUUCCCCGACCAUGGCAGAGCUGCUGGACGAGUUCGCGUCCAAGCUUGUGGGCAUCCUGGCAGGCAUGGUGAAGGAGGAGGUGGAGAUGCUCCUCGGCGUGCCGGGUGAGGUCACCAAGCUCGAGACCACGCUCCGCGACCUGAGCCACAUCUUGGGUGAUGCGGAGAGGAAGCGCAUCCGUGACAAGGCUACGGAGGGUUGGGUGAGGGAGCUCAAGGACGUCAUGUACGACGCCGAUGACGUCCUUGACCUCUGCCAGCUCAUGGAAGGCGGAGAAGAUCCUCCCGCACCAACAUCUGCUCCGAAAACCACCUCAAGGUGCUGGGACAUCCCCAAGAUGUUUUUUUGCUUCCGCAACCCUGUUGCGGCACAUGAGAUUGGAACGAAGAUCCAAGCGAUCAACCAGCGACUGGAAGACCUGGCAAAGAGGAGCUCCCGUUUCGGAUUCAUCACCCAAGCCAUCCAUUCCUCAGCUGAUUCAAUCAACGAAGCUUGGAAUUCUUUGUCCGACGAGACUGGAUCGGUUUUUAUCCGGUCUGAUGUUGUCGGCGAGAAGAUUGAGGAUGACACGAAGAAAAUUGUUGAUCUACUCAUCAAGAAGGUGGAUGCUCCUGUAGGAUCAAGGGCCAAUAGUGAUGUGGUUGUUGCUGUUGCUAUCACAGGCACAGGUGGGAUAGGCAAAACCACUCUUGCUAAGAUGGUCUUCGGUGAUAGUAGGGUGGAGGAAAACUUCAAGGAAAGGAUCUGGUUGAGCGUUAACCGUGAGUUCAAUGAGAUCAAUGUCCUACAAAGUCUUAUAGCUUCUUUUGGUGCCAAACAUGAAGGCUGUGCGGGAAACAAGGACCUACUUCAGCGUGCCCUGAAGGAUACAAUCCGGCAAAAGAAGAAGUUUUUGUUGGUGAUGGAUGAUGUGUGGAGCGAAAAUGUGUGGUAUAAGCUGCUUAGAGAGCCGCUCAAUCAUGGUGCUUCUGGCAGUCGAGUCUUGGUGACCACAAGAAAUGAUGGAGUUGCUCAUGGGAUGAAAGCUCAACAUCUCCAUCGAGUUGACAAGCUAACAACGGAAGAUGCUUGGAUUUUGCUAAAGAACCAGGUCAGUAAUAACUUUUAUUUAUUACAGUAAUUAUUUAUGCAGUAAUUUGAAUUUACAGUAACAACUUUUAUCUCUUCUUAAUUACUUUCUCUCCCUUGGAGUAAUGCACGAUAGCCCAUUGCUCAAUAUUUCUCUUGUCGCUCUUUUCCGAUCUGAUUACGCAAAGGACCAUGUAAUUUCACUACGAGCCUUUUAUCAUACUUUCAAAGCUCUUCGCUUAGCAAAACAUGUCUCAUGGUUAUAUUUAGUUGAACAUAUCCUAUUGACGUUGAGGGAUGUUUUGUUUAGGGCAACGAAUCGGGUAUCGUAGCCUAAGAGGGGGAGGGGGUGAUUUAGGCAACUUAAAAUCUUAACCUAUGGCUUCUGCUACUUUUGCAUCAAACAUAAACAAGAUCAUGCUGUCAAGAUGUGCAAUUAUGGUUGAUCUAGUGUGAACUCUUCAUCCUAAAAUAAGUUUUGCAACCUAGAGGCAUCCUAGCAAGAUACUACACUAAGAAAGUAAAGGCACACAAGUUGUAAGUAUGAAAUGCGGAAAUGUAAAGGAGGGGAUGAGGGGAAGCAAACUCUUGACACAAGAGUAUUGCUUUCCGGUCACCAAGUCUCUCCCUGGACACUCCUUGAUUUGCCACAAAGGCUCGGCUACUAAGGCUCACGCCAAAUUCACAGGCUACCUUGAUACCAUCUCCACAAAGGAGCUUCUCCACGAAAGAAGGGGGUCUCCACGUUCCCUGCACAUUGUCGUCGACGCCGCUCCACACCAAGCCGGAGGGUCAAAGACUUACCGGCGAACCACCAAGGCUCCAAGGUUUCAGCACACCUUGUACAGCUGUGGUUCACUCCUAGAAUCGAUCACAAGGCAAGCACACCUUGCAUUCUCUCUUCUCUAGGCCUAUCCUAGCACUAAACAUUCUUCUAAGCUUGCGCUAAACCUUUGAUUAAUCACUUAUGCACUUUUGGUGGUUUGGAUGUGUUCUUGACGAGUCUUGAUCUCCAAUGGAAUUCUGCACACUCCAGCUUCAUCCAACAACUCCAAAUGGGUGAGUGGCGGGGGGUAUAAAUAGCCCAAGAACUCAAAGAGCCGUUGCUCCAACGGCUAGUUAAAGUAUACCAUCGGAUGUUCCGAUGGUAUCAUUUGGGGUAGCAUCGGAACAUCCGGUUCUACCAGCCAUUGCCUCCCCGCGCUCAGAUUCUGCUCAAGUUCCUCACUGACGUAAUCCAUCGAUUGAUCCAGUGGUCCCUCUAGCACCCAUCGGAUCAUCCGGUGCAGUAGCUUCCUAUGCCAAAACGUCUUUGUUAGUUUCUAAAAUAAAUAUGCUUCGUCCGAUGCCCCUGCGACACAUAGCGUCGGAUCAUCCAGUGCCUCCUUCUUUCUUCUCUUUGCUCCGGCGAUUCAUCCGAUGGGUACAAAACUUAGGCCAUCGGAUCAUCUGAUGGUCCUGCUUUGACUUGGUCUCCACAUGGCGAACCAAAAGCUCUGAUGCUUGCACCGACACUUUUUCAACUGGCCAUCAAAGCAUCCGAUGGUCUCAAAAAUCUUCUUCACGCUUGUCACCAACUGAUUCGGUGGGCACCUUCUUCUUGUCACCGGAUGAAUCAGUGGCUAUAACAAUUCUUGUUUUUCUUUGAUUUCUUUGAUUCUUUGCUUGUCUUUGGUUGUGGUUGCUUCCUUAGGACCUAUAAUACCUUCAAGAUAUGUUCUCAAUGCUUUGUUAGUCCUAAUGACCAUGUUGUCACAUUAAUCACCGAAAUCACAAACAAAUGGCCUAUUCGGAGCCAUGUUUGCUACAUUUAGGCUAUCCCCAAUGAGGAUUUCAUAAGAGUUUCUUUUAAUGAUGUGACACAUCAACAAUUUUGAUGAUAUGACAUGCUAAUAAUCAUGAAGAGAGAGAGGGAAGGAGUUUCAUCCUGAUUAAACUGUGUAUACAUUGUUUCCAAGACUAUGAAACCUGAUGAAACUAGCAUUAGGGAUUAGAUAGUUUUAUUUCAUCUCAUAACAUCCAAUCACAUACCUCGCAAUUAAACGUUAUGUCCAGCCUAUAAAAUCGUGAAAUGAAACUCUCCAUUGGGAGAUCUUGUGUCAUACAUCCACUCAAACAUCUUUUGAUGACAUACCACUCCUGAAAACCGUAAUAUGAAAUUCCCCACUGGGAAUAGCUAUGGUUGCUCUAGAGUCUAGACUCUAUUGAAGUCACUUCAACUUUUUCCCAACACACAACCCCUGCACAAGUUAUGAUACAACAUAAAAUCCAUUGGGAGCUUUUCGAUUCUAACACCAUUUCCUCUCUCAAACUUGCUGCAUUUUUUCCAAUACUAGGUAGUUUUGAAUGAGAGUGAUGAUGUCGAUGAAUUGAAGAGUAUCGGGAUGGAAAUUGUUAAAAGAUGUGACUGCUUGCCAUUAGCAGUUAAGGUCCUUGGAGGACUCUUGCGCCGCAAAAGUAGAACAAGAGAUGCCUGGACGGAUGUUAGUAGCCACGGCACUUGGUCGACAAUAGGAAUCCAUGAAGAUAUUAAUAAAGCGGUCUAUUUGAGUUAUGAAGACUUGCCUUCACACUUGAAGCAAUGUUUUGUGUAUUGUUCGCUAAUCCCUCAAGAUUACUUGAUUUCAAGUCGAGUAAUAGUCCAGAUUUGGAUUGCAGCAGGUCAUGUACACAACAAGAUGAGCUGUAAGGCACCAGAAACGUUGGGGGAAGAAUACUACAAAGAAUUGGUUUCAAGAAAUCUUCUAGAACCAGAGAAAGGUUACUAUAGAAUAUCAGCAUGGAACAUGCACGACGUUGUCCGUUCCUUCGCUCAGUAUAUAAUUAAAGAUGAAGGGAUACUUAUUAGUGAUGGGCAGGAUGUCAAUAGAACUCUUAGCACUGCAAAGCUUCGGCACCUAUCUAUCUCAAACAAGGCAGUAAGGCAUGACACUUUGCAAACACAAGCCUUGCUUAGAACAUUAAUGUUAUUCGAAGGCAGCACCACUGUUGAGCUAAAGGAUAUGUUGAACAACCUUUCUUGCCUAAGAGUACUACAUCUGAUAGAUGUAGAUCUAGUUGAGCUGCCAGACUCCAUAUGCCACCUCAAACAUUUAAGAUCCUUGUAUCUUUCUGGCACAAGCAUAUCCACAAUUCCUCAAGGCAUAGGAGAUCUAAAAUUUCUACAAUCUAUUGACCUUGAUGGGUGUGCAAAUAUUCAUCAACUUCCUAACAGCAUCCUAAAGCUGCGGAAGCUAAGGUCACUCACCUUGAGCGACACGGCAAUCACUUCAGUUCCUCGUGGCUUGGGAAAACUAGAAGAUUUGGUCGACAUAAGGGGGUUUCCAACACAUUAUUCAAAUGAGAGCACAGGUGGCUGGUGCAGCUUAGAAGAACUCAGACCUCUAUCGAAGCUCCAAAGCCUUGAAAUAAUAUGUCUGGAGAAGGCACCUUCCGGUUCUAUGGCUGCUAAAGCAAACCUUAGCAGUAAACAUCACCUGACACGGUUACAUUUGGUAUUUACCAGCAGGCUAGGAGACAACGGGGAGGUCGAAGGCAACAUUAGCGAGGAGGAACACAGGAGAACAGAGGAGGUGCUGGAUAAUCUGUGUCCUCCAACUUGCAUGGAACGACUUGAAAUCAAAGGC